rnacentral:tRNA from 1 species
GUGGUGGCUCAGUGGUAAAGCAUUUGCCUAGUAUGUGUGAGGCACUGGGUUCGUUUCUCAGCACCACA